UACGAAGGGUGCAAGCGUUAUUCGGAAUUACUGGGCGUAAAGAGCGUGUCGGCGGUUUUUAAGUUAUCUGGUAAAGGGCUCGGCUCAACCGAGUACAUGCGGGUGAUACUGAAAAACUAGAGUACGAGAGAGAAGGGUAGAAUUCUCGGAGUAGCGGUAAAAUGCGUAGAUCUCGAGAGGAAUACCGGUUGCGAAGGCGGCCCUUUGGCUCGUAACUGACGCUUAAGCGCGAAAGCGUGGGGAGCAAACAGG
rnacentral:rRNA from 1 species